rnacentral:rRNA from 1 species
GACGUAGGGCGCGAGCGUUGUCCGGAUUAUUGGGCGUAAAGAGCUCGUAGGCGGCUUGUCGCGUCGACUGUGAAAUCCCGCGGCUCAACUGCGGGUCUGCAGUCGAUACGGGCAGGCUAGAGUUCGGUAGGGGAGACUGGAAUUCCUGGUGUAGCGGUGAAAUGCGCAGAUAUCAGGAGGAACACCGGUGGCGAAGGCGGGUCUCUGGGCCGAUACUGACGCUGGAGGCGCGAAGGCGUGGGGAGCGAACGGG